AUUGUAUCAUUUAUAACAAAUAAUGUUCUGCCAAGUGAAGCAAAGGAGGCCAAAAAUAUACGAAGGACUUUGGCCCGAUUUUGGUUAUCUAAGGACAAAAGGUUAUACUGACGAUCAUUUGGAGGACCAUAUUUGUUAUGUCUUCACCCAGGGAUGUGGAGGGUCUCUUAACUGAGUUACAUAGAGGAAUCUGUGGAAGUCAUAUGGGAAGAUGGUCGCUAGCACAUCGACUUAUGACACAAGGAUUCUAGUAGCCAAACAUGCAAAGGGAUGCCACCGAGUACGUAGAAGUGUGAUCAAUGUCAGAAGCACUCCUCGAAUAUCCACUAGCUAGAAAGGAGUCUUAACCCGAUCUCCAGCCCAUGGCCCUUCGCCCAGUGGGGGUUAGACAUUGUUGGGACGUUUCCUUGAGCCACUGAUAACAAAAGGUUUGCCAUAGUUGCUACAGAUUAUUUUAUGAAAGGGGUUGAAGCUGAAGCCUUGGCAAACAUUCGAGAUGUAGAUGUGAAAAAGUUUUUUUGGAAAAAUAUUUUCACAAGGUUUGGGAUAAUGGGUUACAGUUCGAUAGCAAGGCCUUCUGUAAAUAUUGCAGUGAUCUCGGAAUCAAGAACAGAUAUUCAACUCGAGCAUACACUCAGAGUAAUGGACAAGUAGAAGUGAUGAACAAAGCAAUAGUUAACAGGCUGAAGAAAAUGCUAGAAGGGGCUAAAGGUGAAUGGGCCAAGGAGUGCCUCAUGUGCUAUGGGCUUACCGCACAAUGCCCACGAGAUCCACGGGUAAACCCCCUUUUUCUAUGACUUACGGAGUUGAAGCUAUGAUUCCUGUGGAGGUAGGCUUAUCUAGUAUAAGGGUCUCAAAUGUCUCCCCGUGAAAUAAUUAUGCUUGCGUGGCUGAGCAGUUGGACCUCCUGGAAGAGCACCAAGAGAUGGCUUUGAUCAGAUUAGCUAACUAUCAGUAGAAGUUGGCUUAGAGGUAUGACAAAAAUGUAAAGCCAAGAGAUUUCGUUGCAGGGGACUUAGUCUUACGGAAGGCGGUGGGAAAUAUAAAGGAUCAAGGUGCAGGGAAGUUGGCUCCAAACUGGGAGGGCCCAUAUCGAGUCACUACAAUGGCAGGAGCUGAGGCUUACUACUUGGAGGAUAUGGAGGAAAGACUGCUUUCCUGACCUUGGAAUGUGAGAAAUUUGAAAAGAUACUACCACUACGUGCAACCAUUAUGAUGAGAUGUCUUACACUAUAAUUCUCUUUGGAAAAAAUGGAACAAAAGUGAUCAUCUUUAUUAGCGUUAAAUUAUAUUUGUUGCAUUACACACUUUUACUCUAAAGGGACUAAGGACAGAAACCUAGCAUCGACCUGACGCCAAUCACCAACUAGGUCAAAACCAAAACAAAUUUAUCUAAGGACAAAAACCUAGUGUAACACCCCAACCUAAUUGCAUAAUUUAUUUUAUGGGUUUAUAUGCAUGUUAUUAUCUUAAUUACUUUGAGUGCUUAAAACUUUGAUAUUGUGAUAUUAUAGAAGAUACAUGCUCUUUUAAUGUUGCAAAAAGAAAUUUUAUAAAGGUAAGGAUAUAUAUGCAAAGUUAUAUUGUUCUUUGGGCCUUUCUAGAAAUAUAAGCUUAUAAGGGGGUGAAAAGUAUAAAUGCCAAAAGUUGAAAAGGUGGGUCAUGAUCUUUUCUUUCCUUAGCAUUACAUGUGCCCCAUCUCAAAUUCCAUUUCCUUUAUCUUCUUUUUCUGCACCAGAAAUUUCAGCUCUUCUUUCUCUAUUCCUUUUUCUUUCUCUCUUCUUUGCUCUUACACCGCAACACCUCUCCCUCACUCUCUCACCGAAAAUCAUAUACAUCUCUCUCUAAGAAGAAAUUAAGAGCCUAACACUAAGGUUUCAGCUUCAAAGUUUGUGGGCGACGAGAACGAGAACAUGGACACUUAAGCUCCUCUUAUACAAUCUCUCGUAUCUUCUGUUUUCAGUGCACAGGUUCUUCCUGGAAGCAGCGAGAGUAUUAGAGAUGGCAAGGAUUCUGUGAUUCUCGCUUGUUAGAAUGUAUAGUUUUUGUUGUAUAGUAGUUUAGCUCUUUUGUGUUAUAGAAGGAAUCAAGAUGUACUUGAUCCUUGAGCACAGAUGUAAUUCAGAACCUUAGUUUGUUUUGAACCCCAGUUGUAUGUCUUUGGGGUUAGGUUUGUAAUAAGAGUUUUGCUAAACGUUUAGCUAUGUAAUAUUUACACGGAUACCUGACCUUUCAACCAAGUGGUAAUCUUCCAAGUUCAAAUGAAAUGAAGUUUCAAGGCUUUCAUCAU